GGGCUCGCCGUUCGACUCAGUCCGACGGUGACAGACACCAGGAACCGUCCUGGAAUUCCCUGACACGGAAGAGGUCACAAGUUCAAAUCUUGUACGGCCCA
rnacentral:tRNA from 1 species